AGCUUUGUGCAGUGGCAGUAUCGUAGCCAAUGAGGUUUAUCCGAGGCGCGAUUAUUGCUAAUUGAAAAAUAUACUUAAACAUAGAUGGUAAUCAUUCUUUAAUGUGCACUCACUACUAGCUCUAUAAAGAG
rnacentral:snRNA from 1 species